rnacentral:rRNA from 1 species
GAAACUUGUUUUUUAGGUAAGAAACCUCCCCAGAUAACGCCUCGCUGCAAUCGAGCCGCACACGCACCCGCCGCCGCCGCCAUCUCCCUUCGCAGGAGAGGCGUGGCAAAGGAGGCUCGUGCAGGGGGUGGUGGUGGUGGGAGUGGGGAGUAAGAAAGAGCAUGGAGGCGGCGGCGGCGGCUAGGAAGAGCGUGUGCGUGACCGGCGCAGGAGGCUUCAUCGCCUCGUGGCUCAUCAAGCUCCUCCUCUCCAAGGGCCACUAAAUGGUCCGCGGCACCAUGCGAGAUCCCGGUAAGGACCCUCCUCGCUUCGAUCCGUCCAUCCCAGCCCCCGAAGAUCCAGCCUCAGCUCAUGCUCGCGCUGCUCCCGCCCAACGACGCCGUCUGCGUCGAACUGAAAGCCUGCGGAGGACGGGGACGAGGUCGGGGUGGAGAUGUGGAUCGUUUUCUUUGGAUCCCCAACUGAAGAGUUUGAAGUUGUUUCUGCAGACAACCUAGAUGUCAAUGAAUGUGCGCAGAGUCCAGCCCCCUGCCAUGGCUCUGCAACUUGCCACAACACAGUUGGAGGGUUCCAUUGUUCAUGCCCUUUUGUCACCAGUUUUGCUAAGGAAACAAACUCCUGCGCCAAUCAGUUUACAAGUCAGGAGUUGAGCAGGGCACAAUCUGUGGCAGGACCGCACUCUCCUACUCAUUUGUCUCAAAGCAAAAGAAGCUUGCUGCCUUUGCCUGGAGAGAGUAGAAGUUUCUUUUAUCUAAUCCAAGAUGAUCUAUUCAUGAUUAAAACAGCGAGGAAAUCAGAAGUUGAGUUCUACUAAUUGAAGCCGGUGAGUUGGUGUAUGCUUGAAGUGAGUCUGGUUCUUGCUUCAAUUUCCCCUGUUUCACCUCCAGAUCUACUCAUUGGGAGAUGGAUUCCUUGCAGUGAGAGGCUGGUCUGACGCUGUUGUUGAUAAUCAUCCAUUCCUAUUCUGGACGUGGACGAAGUACACACAUGUACACGCAGCUCUUUUUGAUCCGUUGCAUAUCAAAGCUUCAUUCAGACGAUGGACUGUCUUGCUCUACUUCGAAAUCGAAACAGGGGAAAGACAGGCAGCUGCUGCAGAACAAGGGAAGGAGUAUCAGCUAUCUGUUGUUUCAGUUAUUUAUGUGUGCUGAAGAUUGUUCAUACCCGUACCCUGAAGAAAGAAGACACAAGAUAGAUUGUAGAUAUACCUGGAAUAUGUUCAUCCGGGUUCAGUUAAUAAGUGCAUUAGUCAACAUUGUGGUGCAAUGACAGAAUCUGCUGUCCACAACUUCACCUGCCAUAUCCUUAAGGGUCUUGCUUUCCUACAGAGCCAAAAAAUUAUGCAUAGAUUUGGAAAUAGGUUUAAAGGAAAGAUUUAGAAGUAACUGUGGUGAUCCAGGACGCUUUCAAGAUUACAAGUUCAGUAGUGGCAACUUGAACUUAUGUAAGAAUAAACAGAAUGAUUUUUCAUCUUGAAGAGUUUCCUAACUGUUGACUUUAAGCCUUCAAAGUUACUCCUUUCGUAAACUAAUAUAAGAGCGUUUAGAUCACUAAAGUAGUGAUCUAAAUACUCUUAUAUUAGUUUACAGAGGGAGUACAUCGUGGGAUUAUGAAUAAGAUGGUGCUAAUUAUAUUUUGAGUGAAUUUCUGGUGUGUAUUAUUCAGAAUUUCAGACUGGCCCUUGAACUAAAUAAAGAGAAGUCAAAUUUUGUUUCUUUGCUGCUCCUGUCUGUCUCUGACAAGCACUGAUGCACCACCAAUGUAAUAAGUUCUUGAACGAUUCAAGAGGACUAUGAACCAUGGAUAAAUGCAACAACAAGGUUAGUACGCACAGGCAUGCAAAGGAGGCGCGCCCCUGCCCCUAGUAAAAGAUUGUAGGUGAUUGCUCUAUAGUAGAUAGUAAAAAAUGGAUGUCCAACAAGUUAUUCGAAUUCAACGAUUGAGUCAGAAUCGACACAAGUCAUCCCACACACUGUUGCCCUUGGGCUUCAUCCAAUAAUGUACUCUCUCCG